GGGCCAUAGCGCAGUGGUAGAGCAUCUGCAUUGAGUGCAGAAGGUUCCAAGUUCAACCACUGGCUUCUCCA